UUGUUUUGACAUGCUUUAGGCCGCAACAAAUGUUAAAAGAUCGUACUACACUUGGCCAGGUUGUCGUCGUGUGGGCGCGCGUGCGGCGGCGGUGGCAUCAAAGGCAAUUUGUUAGUAAUAGGAAAUAUAUGAGAUAAUAAUGGUUAAAAAGGAAUUUUAAUGGAAAGAAGAAAAAAAAAAAAGAAAGAAAAAAGAAGAAGAAGAAGAAGAAAAAGGAAAGUGUUUAAUUAGGAUUAAGAGAAAAUGUUGUACAUGAUGGAAACCGGAUAGUUUCUUCAAUUCAAUGGUUCUAGUCUUCUCGAAGGUGCGAGCUUUCGUCGACGCGGAUCUUUCUUUAUAAUAAUCAUAAUAGAAAAGCAAUUCUGAACGUAUUUUCACAGAUAUAAAAAUUAUCCGACAUAUUCAGUAUUGCUUUUCCUAUCUAUUAUAUUUGGUUAAAUUCACUAAUGUUUUGGACUAAUCGUAAAAAUAAUAAAAAUAAAUUUUAGAAAGGUCGCUAAACUACGAGCAUUUGUAGAAUAGAUUGAAAAAAAAAAAUGAACCAAUGAGUGAAAGGAGGACAUGGGAUAAGGGGAAGGGAUGGAUUUCUAAGAUAGGAAGAAUUAGGUAUGAGUGUAUGUGUAAAUAUGCCGUCCCACGUCACCUACUACGCUUUCAAGGCUUUGCGUUGGCGUAUGUGCGUCGACAGUAUCAUCACUUCCUGUUAGGACAGCAAAUGGUUCUGAAGCCGCGUGUAAGGACGGCGGAAUUGAUGGUUGUACUUUAACAGAUCUAUUUACAUCCCUUCGUCUUCUGGAUGCUUUUUCACCAAUUUUGACGGUACUCAAUACGGUGCUAAAUUCCCCGGGUCUUCGACCAGAAACAUAAAGCGUAACCACGCUAGAUUCAGCUUUCGAAAUGGCAGAAUUAUCUUCUUUUUUAUCGUGAGACCUAUCCCGUCCGCCUCGAACCCUUGAUGGUUUUUCAUAUUCCUCGAGAUCUUCGUCCGAAUAUUCAUAACUAUCUGGUUUAUAAUCCGAAUCUGCUGGUUGAUGCCGCCUUUCAACUUCACCCGGUAGAGUAUUACUUUGGGUUAACAAUGGAACAGCGGCGAACAAAGGAUCCAAUAAAGGAUUUGAAUUUGGUUGUAUUUGCUGUUGGGGUUGUUGAAGUAGCAAUAGUAAAGAAUUUAAAUUUGCUGCUGGUAAUGUUGCCGUUGGUGUAACUACAACAGUGUCCGUGAUAAAUUCCGUUGCGGUUAUGAUGUCGCUUGAGGAGUCUAUUAAAGUAGUUAAGAUCUCUUUACCACGGAAGGUAAGUGGAAUGACGGUGCUUUGAUGUUUCGUAAUCGUAGUGACGUAGGUAGUUGUGCGCGUGUUAUAUUGCGUAGUGGGUGUACCUUGAGGCUGUAGUAAUUGGUUCUGUGGAUUUAACUGACCCAGAAGCAAUUGUGAUAAAAGGAUAUUUGCAAGAGGUGGAUUUGUAGGCAAAGAAGGUCGUAUUGUAGAAACUACAUUUUCAACUGAAUAAACAGUUGUAGGCACGAUCACUGAUUGUGAAGCUCUCCGACCACCAAAAGUGCUUCGCUGACAAUAACUACCAGUGGUCGACCAUCACCACCUGUUACAGUGCUAUACUGAGAAGGACCAAGGACUUCUGUACUAGGUUGAGCCGUUAUAAUAUUGCGUUGCUCAGUGACACCAUUAUUUACUACAGGUUUUUACAACGUAGGUCGUCGGAGAAGAGACGGAGAUGCGGGCGGACGUUGGAGGCAGACGGCAUCCAGUUGUUGAGAAGAGUUGAAGGCGGGGAGCAGGCAGGAGCAGUAACAGAAACAGAAAAAGAGAUAGACGAUUUUAAUAGAACAGCUUCUCUUUUGUAAUCUACAAUACCUGUAUCUCUGACAUAACGUCGUUCAUUUUUAAGCUUGAUUUUCAUGUAUCUCAUGUGCUUCGGUAAUUAAAUUUCUUUAUUAUUUUAUAUAAUUAUUUAAUAGUUCAAAACGUUAUCUUGAAGAAGCAAGAAGGGAAGAGAAAGAAACGAGACGAUAAAAAAAAAAAAGAGAAGAAAAAUAAAAAAAAAUAAAGGAAAAAACAAUAUAGAAAAUAAACAAAGAACAUAAUGAUAACGUGAACGAAUAUUUAUGUAUUGGUUUAAAAAAAAACAAAAGAAAAAAAAAAAAGAAAAAGUUUUUUCUUUUCUAAAUAAAAUUUACACAGUAUUUUCUCACUUCUUUAGAAUAACAUUCUAAUUAUCAUUCAGAUUUUUGUUUCCAUUUAUAUAUUUUCUAUUUUCUAUUUAUAAUAUACACUUGUAUCUUUUGUAGAAUUUGAAGAAUAUGGAAAAUAAUUAAUUAAAUCCGUUACAUAAGAGAACAAAUAAAUCAAGCUUUAAUUUUGAAAGUGGUAUGCUUAUAACAGAGCGAUCUGCUUCUUAGCGAUAUACAGCUCGGAAAAAUAGUUAAGUAGUAAUUUGUGCCAGAUAACAAUAGAAAAUAAUAGCCGUUAGAAUUUCGUGCAUAGCCUGACCAUAUUAAAGAUUUCAAUGAGGGACAGAUUUGCAGACAGAAAAUUGACCGAAAGUUAGUUUUUAAUAAAUUCAUUCUAAUAAAUUCAGUCGUAUGUUGAUUUUUGUAUAUAUUGAUUUUUUGUAUUCAAAAAAAAAAAAAAAUAAUAAUAACAACAACAACAACAAUAAUACGAUCAUCUGAUUCGUGUAAUUCAAUUUAAAAAAAUAAGAUAAAACUUAUCUCAGUUAGCGAUGAUUCAUUCAUAAAAAAUAAUUUUUAUUUUGAAAGAAUUACAAAAAAAAAAAGAAAAACAAAAAAUAAAUAUAUAAAAGAAGAAAAUACAUUUUUAUUAUAAUUUAUAUUUUUUUAUAUAUAUAUAUAUAUAUAUUAUGAUAAUAUAUUUAUAAUCAGUAAAAAAAAGAAUAUAUUUUUAAUUUGUCUAAUUUAUUUCUAUUCGACAGAUUACGCAGAUCUAUUUAACUAAAACUAAUUAUGUUUAUUAAUUAUGAAAUGAAGAUAUAGAAAUGUUUUUCAGUUCGAAGGCUUAUAUAUAUAUACACGGCCGCACCUCGCGUCAACACGCACGUAUAAUGUAUAGACAUGACAAAUUUAAUAUUCAUCAUGUGGAGAAAGUAAAAUAGGUAGAGACAAAGGUUGAAGCAGAAAUAAAGUGUUUAGACAUAACAUUGCUUUCAGUAUAAUAGAAAAUUUAGAACAUAUAUAUAUAUAUAUAUAUAUAUAUAUAUAUAUAUAUAUGUAUAUAUUAGUAUCAGAGAUACAUAAGAAAAUGAUCGAAAUCAGAUUUUUAGAGAAAUCAUUUGUUAUUGAGUCGAACAUAUAUGAGUAUAUAUACAAUAAAGAAUUUUUUAAAGAAAACAGAAAAACAAAAAAGAAAAAGGAUAGAAGUUGGACAAAAAAACCCUUGGGGCGCAUAAAGACAAGAUGAUGUUUUGGUUUUUUUUCCUUUUUUUUUUUUUUUUUUUUUUUUACAAUUUACAUAUAUCUCUCAAUAAUAUAUGAGAAUAUGUUAAGCGCAAUGUUAUGUAUAUUUAUAUAUUUGGAAAAUUGCCAAUAUAAUUAUACAUAUAUAUAUAAUUUAUAUCUUGAAUGUUUAAAUACAAUAAAAUCAAUUACAAACUCA